rnacentral:rRNA from 1 species
GACGAACGCUGGCGGCGCGCCUAACACAUGCAAGUCGAACGAGCGAGAGAGAGCUUGCUUUCUUGAGCGAGUGGCGAACGGGUGAGUAACGCGUGAGGAACCUGCCUCAAAGAGGGGGACAACAGUUGGAAACGACUGCUAAUGCCGCAUAAGCCCACGACCCGGCAUCGGGUUGAGGGAAAAGGAGCAAUCCGCUUUGAGAUGGCCUCGCGUCCGAUUAGCUAGUUGGUGAGGUAACGGCCCACCAAGGCGACGAUCGGUAGCCGGACUGAGAGGUUGAACGGCCACAUUGGGACUGAGACACGGCCCAGACUCCUACGGGAGGCAGCAGUGGGGAAUAUUGCACAAUGGGGGAAACCCUGAUGCAGCGACGCCGCGUGGAGGAAGAAGGUCUUCGGAUUGUAAACUCCUGUUGUUGAGGAAGAUAAUGACGGUACUCAACAAGGAAGUGACGGCUAACUACGUG